rnacentral:lncRNA from 1 species
AGUUCCAGUCCCCCACUCUUGCCGUUAAAAACCCGAUAAAGAACGCCGCUACCGUUUAUGUCCAUACGGUUAUAAAUGCCGCUGUGAACUGCCAUGUUUUUCUCUGUAAACUCUUCGCAAAACAUCUCCAACCAAAAUUUCAAAUACGAAGACCAAGGAUUAGGAAGAGAAUUCUCUGUAGAAAAGAAGAGACGUCAGGUAACCAGAAAGCAAUUUGUUUCUGCUUCUGACCUGGGAAUUUCAGGUAAUUGCAGAAAUGAUCACCCCCUUUUUUCUUUUCCUUUUCGAAAAAUUUUACUCGUGAUUCGUUGAUAAUGUUUGGUGUUCAUUUUCAUGUUUUUUUCCUAUUCUUUCAAUUUGUUGGUUUUAAAUAUUUUUAAUGGAUAUCUUUGGUGGUAUUAUUCUGUUUGGUCUCUGAGAAAUAAUUAUAGAAACAGGGUAGAAUAGUAAAAGCCAAGCUUCUGAUGCUGCUUGGAGAUUAGCUAAGCUCAUUUAAUUGUAAGUUUUCGAGUAAGACUUAAGAGCUAAGUGUUUUUUCUUUUGUUUUUGUUUGAACUUUCGGGAUAGAAAGUUUAAUUUAGAGAGGAAAAGGAAAGUUAUCAGCAGAUCAACGGGGUUUAGAUGUUUAAUUCAUAGUUUCUUUUUUUUAAUGCUUUAAUUUAAUUUUUUGGGGGUCCAAAAGAAAAACUAGUGAUAGAAUAGCUUGGGCUUUUGAAUUCUAGUAAUUUUAUUUAUUUCCUUGUUUCAAAGUACUUUUAAUUUUCCUCUCUUUGUUUUCUAAAUGAUGUUUAAGGAUGGUAAUAAGCUGCUGGUUUUUUUUUUUUCUUUUUGUCUUUUUGGCUAAAUCAAGUUCAAUAUACCAUCGCCAAACAGGUCUAAGAGCUAAGAUUUUAAGCUAUGGCUGUGGCUUUCUUAAGAUUGGGAAGAGUGUUUAUAUGUUCUUUUUCUUUACUGAUUUUAUGUGUGUUUAAGACGUUUAGUUAUUUUCCUAGAUUAUCAAAAAGAAUUACAUAGGAUAGGUAGCAGAAAUAUUCAGUGAUAACGUUUUGUUUGUUUUUGGAGGAGUUUUCUUUUCAUGCUGAUGAAUCUGAUUCACUGAGAAAAUUAUUAGCAAAAAAGAACUUUGUACUUUUGAGGUAUUUAAAUCUGUAUUUAAGUAUGAGGAGGAUGAAGUGGAAUAAAGAACAUGAGUUUGUUAAAAGAAAAGAUUCAAUAGCUGAUGAAAGAAUGUAAAUCUUCUACUUCACAUUGGGUAUCAGUACUUUUUUUUUCCUCCUUUAUUCCUUUCCAGGCAAAAAAAGGGGGGGUUGCUUGGAUGUUGACAGUUCUUUUAGAUCUGAAUAAAACUUGUCUACCCUAAAUGAGUUACUGAUCAUGUGAUGUUCUUUAGAUGGUAGCAAAUGCCCUUUACAUGUCAGAAACAAAUAGUUGUUUAAUGAAGUUUUAUUUUUCCUCUUAGACUUAAUCCUAAUUUAUUUCAUUUGGGUUGAUAUCGUUGAUUACCGGGGUGUGAAAGCAUAAAUUUCAUAGAAAAAGGGACAAACUUUUUGUGCAGUUGGUCAUUCAUAAUGUUGGUCAACUUACUUUCUAUCAUUUUCAUACAAAUUGUCAACCAAGCUAUAGUGGGAAGUGAGUGGUUUUCAAUAUUAAGUCAUACCAAUGACUUGGACUGCUCUCAAGCAUCUUUAAUAGCGCGGACAAGGCCUUUGAAUAUGCUUCUUGAAUCUUGUUCUACAUCUCUUUCUACUGGGAUGUCUACCACUAUUACUUAGUUCUUGGAAUUUAAUAGUUUGAUUAUUGGUAGAGUUUGUUGAUUUGAUUGCAAACCUAGAGCUUCAAUUGAACUCAUGGGACAUGAAAUGAACAGUUCACCGAAAACUAUUCUUUCAUAAUUUUUCCUGCAGGUUGACUUUGUUUUGGUUUGAAGAUUGACAAAGUUUACAUUGCGGAACCUCAUAUCAUACAGAUAAGAUAAUGAGUCUACUGAUAAUUGCUAACAGAAGGUGAACUGGCUAUUUGUUUUCUGGAUCACCUGUUUUCUGAGAACUUGCAUAUAUUAGGCCAUCUGAUGCUAAACUAAAGCAUGGACUCCCACCAGAUUUUUGGAUACAGUGUCACUGGUGCGGGCCUGUCGUACUCUCCUUCUCAUUCUCACACUUCUUCUCAUCCCAGCUGUCCUUCAAUUCCUAAUAGGCUCUUUGGGUCCAUAAAAAUUGACAUAGGAAACUCACCACCCUCUGCCUUCUGGACUCAGUUUGAUUGUGAUACUGUAACUAAAUUAAGUGACAGCCAANNNNN